rnacentral:rRNA from 1 species
GACGAACGCUGGCGGCGUGCUUAACACAUGCAAGUCGAACGGAAAGGCCCUGCUUGCCGGGUACUCGAGUGGCGAACGGGUGAGUAACACGUGGGUGAUCUGCCCUGCACUUCGGGAUAAGCCUGGGAAACUGGGUCUAAUACCGGAUAGGUGCCAGUUUUAGUGUGAUGGUUGGAAAGUUUUUUCGGUGUAGGAUGAGCUCGCGGCCUAUCAGCUUGUUGGUGGGGUAAUGGCCUACCAAGGCGGCGACGGGUAGCCGGCCUGAGAGGGUGGACGGCCACAUUGGGACUGAGAUACGGCCCAGACUCCUGCGGGGGGCAGCAGUGGGGAAUAUUGCACAAUGGGCGCAAGCCUGAUGCAGCGGCGCCGCGUGGGGGAUGACGGCCUUCGGGUUGUAAACUCCUUUCGCUAGGGACGAAGCUUUUUGUGACGGUACCUAGAGAAGAAGCACCGGCUAACUACGUG